rnacentral:lncRNA from 1 species
AUUUAAAUAGAUUAAAUAAUGAAUUAGGUCAAACCCGGUUCAACUCAACCCGCAAACACUCCUAUUCUUCUGUAAUAUGAUUUUAAUUUAUAAAAUAGUAUUAAACACGUGUUUUUAUUGUUGGUAACAAAAAUUAAUUUUAUAUGAAUUGAUUAGGAUUAAAAAUAAAUAGAAGAUAAAUGAUUUUUGAAUACGUUCAUUUAAAAAUGAAUUUAAUAUUAAAUUUUACUAUAAAAAUCACAUUUAAAUUUAAAAUUUAUAAAUCUCAUCUUCAAAUAAAAUAAAUUCUAAGAGGAUAAUAAGUUAUAGUUUAAAAUAUCAAAUAUCUUAAAAAAAUCAUUUAAAAUUUUAGACUUUUAGAAUUGUAAUUAAGCAUACACUAAAUACUAAAUACUAAAUAUAAAAUAUAAACAAUUAUUUUUAAGAUGUCGACAAUCAUGAAAACACACAAACAAACAAUGUUGUUCCUAAAGAGAAGAAAAAGGGAGGCUCUUUGAGAUGCCAUGUAUAGUAACGUUACUGCCAAAGGGAAAAGAAAAAGUUGCUUAAAAGAAGUAAAUUUAGCAUCCAUGAUAUGUUGUUUCUUUUAAGCCAAGCAGCAAAGAUAGGUAAACAAAAGCUGUUAGGGGAGGGUGCCCCUUUCGAAAGGUACGGUGGUCUGGUGCCAUGUUAAACAAAUAACCAACAAUCUAACCAACAAUCUCAAUUCUCCAAGCAUAAUUCAUAUAGAUAUAUCCAACAAUCUAACUCCUUCUUAUAAAUCUGGAUAUCUAAGGAGAGACUUAGAGUUUUAUUUGUUAUGUUCCUCUAAAUAUCUAGUCACAAAGAUUUAAUUUAAAUUCUUAUUUGAAGGAUUCGACUUAAAGUUUCGUCUAAAAUAUUUAAUUCAAAAUCUCGUCUCAAAAAACUCGACUAAGAAUCUUGGCCGAUAGACUCGUCUAAAAGCAUCACUUAUAGGUCUAAGUUCCUCCGACACAAAAUCAAUUAAACAUUUUGCGCUUUAUCAAACCCUUGUGCUUGACGGACUAUAUAAUUAUAUAUAUAUUUAUUGGACCCAAAAAAGGAUAACUUAUCUAAAAGUGAGAAAGAUCAACACAUGUGAAAUAGGAAAGUUACUCCGCCAAACCACUUGUCGCUCAAAAUAGGUCAUGAAGUCAUUCAGCUCUUGGUAACAGUUUCUCCCGUUGAGCUUAGUCUACUUGGACUCUUUCUCACCUGUUUAAUAGACACGAGAGAGGAUGUGUCCCAUUACAACAUACUAAUAGAAUUGGUCAAGGGAGGAAUAAUUUCUUCCUUCCUAUGAUUUAGUAGUGGAGCGGAAGUAUAUUUCCUCAACCUUAAGUCUAAAAGGCUCUAUAAAUACCUAAACCUUAGGAUUGAGGAGGAAUAUUCUAAAUAUAUACGAAAUAUCUCAAUAAAUAUAAAGAUUUUCACCUCAAAAAUACCACAAAACAGAGUUUCUCACCACACUGAGCAAUCCAUAACCCAUCGAAAAUCCUUAAAGUCUCUGGUCAUCCCUACCAAUAUAGGGAUAUUCAUAUUACUUUUUAACAAAUAUAAUUAUUAUGAAGUAAAAUAAUUUUGUCAUUUCACCCAAAUUAGAAGAUACUCCUUCCAUUUUUUUAUUAUAACUCAUUUUGGAUUUUUUAUACGUAUUAAAAGAUAUAAUCAUUAUUAUAUAAUUUUUUUUUACGAAAAACUUAUAAAAUUAUCUUUUAUUAAUAAUAUAAAAUAAAUAUAUUUAAUAUAUUAAAAGAGAAUAUAAUAAAUACUUAAGCGUAAAUAUAAAAAAUAAUAUUAAUAAUUUAUUAAUAUUAUAAAAUUUAUAAUUUAAUAUGUAAUUUUUUUCAAAUAUAUAAUAAAAAGUAUAAAAAUAAUGAAAACUAAUAAAGUGAAAAAGUCCAUUCCAAUUCAGUGAUUAAAAUAACAACUGUGUAAAACCCAUAAUUACAUAGUUAAGGGAUCCAUAUGAUUCAAUGUGUUAAUGCUUAAAAGAGUUAGCAUAGAAAAGAAAGAGGGAGUUUAAUUUGAGUUUUGUUGAUUGAAUUGAAUUAUAGAAUGGUUGGUGCAGUAGUACUAUGUAAAUGAGUAGCAUCCAGCUUAGACACACCAGUAGAAUACAAGAACAUGAGCGAUGAAAAACUUUAACCCUUUUAACUCUCACUCUGACCAAACCAAACACCACUGUCACUCUAAUCAAUUCCUCAUCCCUAUGCCAUUCCCUCUUUCUCUCUUCCCCUGACCUAAAUUGUACUUCAAAAAUUUUCCAAUUUCGCAUGGAAAAAAACAAUAUUGAAUGGCUAAAACUUUUCUCACAACAAAGAAAAGAAUAAUCAACACCACCACCAUCACUAGAACAAGAAAUAAAACACCAAAACAAAAACAUAACCUGUCCGAGUCUGGAUCCUCUAAGCAACACCCACCAUCAACUCCUUCACCAAAACGACGCCGUAUUAAACUCAAAACAUGUAGAACCAUUAGAAUUAACAGAAG